CGCGCGGUGCUAGUACCGGCCCCCGGGCUGGGAACACCUCCAGGCCAGCGCUUUAGCAUCAUCCGAGGCUCUCCGCUUCCUCAGGGGGACCCGAGUUCUUCCACGCGACUCGCUCCUCUGAGAGGCGAUGCCUGGGAGUGUAAACCAUGCGAGUGUUCCUCUGCGGUUCCCCAAUUCCUAGCCCGACGCCUUGCACAGAGCGGGUCAUUCAAUGCAUGAAUGAAGAAAAGAGGAACCAAGGGGGGAAUUACGGAUGGAAAGCCAGUACUUGCUAUGGACCCCAGAGUGGAGAUUCUCUACAGAAUGACUAUUUGUGAGAAGGAUCUGAGCGGCCACUUCCAGUGAGAAAGAGCAUUUUGGAGAGAAGAGUAGCAUCU
rnacentral:lncRNA from 1 species